rnacentral:rRNA from 1 species
AUCCUAAGGUGUGCGAGAGAACUCUGGUUAAGGAACUCGGCAAAAUGACCCCGUAACUUCGGGAGAAGGGGUGCUUUCUUAACGGAAAGCCGCAGUGAAUAGGCCCAAGCGACUGUUUAGCAAAAACACAGGUCUCUGCGAAGCCGUAAGGCGAAGUAUAGGGGCUGACACCUGCCCGGUGCUGGAAGGUUAAGGAGAGGGGUUAGCGUAAGCGAAGCUCUGAACUGAAGCCCCAGUAAACGGCGGCCGUAACUAUAACGGUCCUAAGGUAGCGAAAUUCCUUGUCGGGUAAGUUCCGACCCGCACGAAAGGUGUAACGAUUUGGGCACUGUCUCAACCAGAGACUCGGUGAAAUUAUAGUACCUGUGAAGAUGCAGGUUACCCGCGACAGGACGGAAAGACCCCGUGGAGCUUUACUGUAGCCUGAUAUUGAAUUUUGGUACAGUUUGUACAGGAUAGGCGGGAGCCAUUGAAACCGGAGCGCUAGCUUCGGUGGAGGCGCUGGUGGGAUACCGCCCUGACUGUAUUGAAAUUCUAACCUACGGGUCUUAUCGACCCGGGAGACAGUGUCAGGUGGGCAGUUUGACUGGGGCGGUCGCCUCCUAAAGUGUAACGGAGGCGCCCAAAGGUUCCCUCAGAAUGGUUGGAAAUCAUUCGUAGAGUGCAAAGGCAUAAGGGAGCUUGACUGCGAGACCUACAAGUCGAGCAGGGACGAAAGUCGGGCUUAGUGAUCCGGUGGUUCCGCAUGGAAGGGCCAUCGCUCAACGGAUAAAAGCUACCCCGGGGAUAACAGGCUUAUCUCCCCCAAGAGUCCACAUCGACGGGGAGGUUUGGCACCUCGAUGUCGGCUCAUCGCAUCCUGGGGCUGUAGUCGGUCCCAAGGGUUGGGCUGUUCGCCCAUUAAAGCGGUACGCGAGCUGGGUUCAGAACGUCGUGAGACAGUUCGGUCCCUAUCCGUCGUGGGCGUAGGAAAUUUGAGAGGAGCUGUCCUUAGUACGAGAGGACCGGGAUGGACGCACCGCUGGUGUACCAGUUGUUCUGCCAAGGGCAUAGCUGGGUAGCUAUGUGCGGAAGGGAUAAGUGCUGAAAGCAUCUAAGCAUGAAGCCCCCCUCAAGAUGAGAUUUCCCAUAGCGUAAGCU